GUUACCGUGGCCCGGGAGGCGGAACUGCUGCAUCCGGGUACUCGGGGACCUAUGCUGCGCGGUGAGGAGGCUUAUGUUCUCUUCAUUGAAAGCAGUAAGGUGAGGGAUCUUCUCGCGGCGGGGCAACUGGCUCGGGCCUCAUGCCGGGCCGGUGCAGGCAGGGUCAGGGUCAUUGCCUCCACCCCCUGGGAAGUUGUAGACUCGGGCUGAACCUUCCUGGACCCUUCGCGACUCCUUCCUGACCUGUGUCCAGAGGCUGGAGAGGGCGACCGCGUGGGGUUCCGUCAGGCUUCGGGACAGCGCCCUUCAGCGGAUGUCGCGUCAUCUCUGUCAAUGCAGUAUUAACUUAGAAAAGGUUGCUCGCGCCCACGUUUUCCCUACUAGAGUUUAAGAAAGAUGGAGACAGACAAUGGGAGAUACCCACAGUUGACCUAAAACCUGAGAAGUCAGAAUGACGUCCGAGAAGUCAGUUCCGAGGCUUGGUGUUGGGGAUUAAACAACUGUGACAUUUAUUUCCAGGAUUUGUAAAUAGAAUACAUCCAAACAUACUGACGGUUAAUAAAGCAUGACAAUUGCCUUAAAAUAACUUUUCAUUGAAUAAACUAAUCACAUCUGUAAAUAGAGCCAUUCUGUGAGCUCCUUUGCAAGUCAAGAGUGGCAGUUUUACAAAAGUUACUUUCUUUGGAGGGAGAUACAAAUUCACUUUUCCCUUGUUCAUCUUCACCCCACAUUCCCAAACAGGCAAAGAAAUGGAGGGAAUAAAAACCUUAUUACAGAAUCUGCACCCACCCACGCGAUCUGCCUUGGCAUUGUCCACAGUAUCAUAAACAUCUCCAAGGCAGCAUCACGAUGGAAAUCAUUCUUAAGGAAAUGUUUAGAAACAUUUUUCUAAAUGGCAUCACAAGUAAACCGAGAAGACACAGUGCCCAUCUGCCAGGAACUUUUGCUGAAAGUUGUCAUGAAGCUGUGUGAGUGGAUGGAAAAAUUAAAUGAGUUUCAGAUUUGACAAGUGUAAAAAGGAUGUGUUCGGGGAAAUAAUGUGAAACCUUACAUAUAAGAUGAUGGCAUCUUAAGCUUUUGGUUAUUGAAAAGGACAGGGGUGUAGGAGUCUCUGUAAAUGAUUCAAAAUAUCAGUCAAAUGUGUGCCCAAAAUAAGGGGACCAGAAAAAUCCUAGAUGUUAACAGUAAGAAUAUUGGAAACGCAAUGGAAAGCAUUACCUUGCCCUUGAGCAUAAUAUUAGUAUGUUUGUAUCUAGAAUAUGUGUAGUCUACCUGAGUUAAAGUCUGCAAAGAAUGUCAGUGUUUCUUUAUUUUUCUAAGCAAUAUAGUAUUUUCUGAUCAUCUAUCCCCUCACUUGAUUCAAAAUCCAGUUUUGGUUAUCAGUAAAGCAUCUUGCAGAGACUUUGUAGGCUAAUGCAGGCAGAAAUGACAUCUCUUGACAAUAGCACAUCUUGCCAUCCAAGAAUGUGACACUUUAAUACAUUUGUUUAAAAAUUUUUAGGUCCUUCAUUGUGGUAGGCAGAUGAAUAGCCCCCAAAGAUGUCCACACCCUAUUUCCCAGAACUUGUGAAUUGGUUACCUUACAAAAGGAUUUUUGCAGAUGUGAUUAAAACUAAGGACCUGGUGAUGACAUUAUCCUGAAUUACAUACAGGGCUGGGCGAAGUCAGCCCAAUCCAAUCACAGGAAAGAUUCAAAGCCUGAGGAUGCCACACCCUUUUGCUGCAUCUGAAAUGUUGAGGGCUAUCUGCAAGGUCCUGAGAAGCCUCUAGGAGCUAAGGUCGGCUCCUAGCUGACUGUCACCAAGGUAACAGAGGUCUCAGUCCCACAACCUCAUGGAAUUGAAUUCUGCCAACACCUGAAUGAGCAGGGUGUUGGAGAUUUUCCCCUGGUCUCCAAAAGGAACAUAGCCCUGCUGACAUCUUGACUUUUGCCCGGUGAGACUUCUCACCUCCAGAACUGUAAGAUAAUAAACUUGGUUUGAUCUAAGCCACUGAGCCUGUGGUUAUUUGUUACUGAAGCAAUAGAAAACUAAUACUUCCACUGAAAUUUUAUAGCUUUUUUCAUCCACAUCUUGCUCUUGUCUUGCUAGGUAUAUUCUGAAAUAUUUUAAUGGUAUUUGCAGAUUGUGAAUAGAAUCCUUUUUUUACAGGUUCAUUUUGUUUCAUGUACAUAACACCUAACCAAAUUUUUACACCCAAUAUGAAAGAUUUUUUUCACUUGAUAGGUAAAUUCAACUCAUUUACACUUAUUAGAGUAGCUGCAAUAUGACAUCACUUCAGUAGUGUAUCUUAUUUAUUUUACUUUGCUUUUUUUUCUCACUUUUUCCCAUUUUAUUUUGCCAGCCUGAUCAAAUUUCUUCUUUUUCCUCCCUCCCACUAUUCAUUUAGAGGUUCUGCAUGCCAUUACUGGUUUCCUGGCUACCUUUUUUUUUUUUUUAAAUCUCUACCAAACAUUUAAACCUGUUCCUCCUCCCCUCCUGUCUCCUUCCACAAAUAUUUAUAGAAUGUCUAUUGUAUUAGAUGCAGUUAGGUAGGUUAAGAAAAAUUUAGUGGCUCUCCUACUAAAAUUAAAUUUUUUUCAUUAUUUAAAAAAAAAUUUUUUUUAAUGUGUAUUUACUUUUGAGAGAGAGAGAGCACCAGCUGGGAGGGUGAGAGAGAGAAGGAGACACAGAAUCUGAAGCAGGCUCCAGGCUCUCAGCUGUCAGCACAGACACGACACGGGGCUUGAAGUCACAAUGUGAGAUCAUGACCUGAGCCACAGUCGGACGCUUGACCAAUCACGUGGUAUCCAGUUUUUCCACCACUGAAAACUACGCCUUGGAACCAAUGUUGGAUUCUGAAAACAGCAGUGGUAGCAGAGCUCCUCUGAAUCCUCCUACUCCAUGCUUUUAAGGUCAACAGAGCUAUGUUCAGGAUACAGCCUGGAGCAGCUGAUUGCAAUGAAGACCCCAGCCCUAUCUGAGGAGUCACUUCCAAGAUACAUGACAUCGUAGCUCAGGUGUAAACUCAGCUCUCUCCGACCAAGAGGAUCAGAGGAGCUUUCAACCAAGGAGGCUCAUCUAAAGAGUGAGCUGCAAAGAGGAAAAAGUGCAGAGUGAUUGUGACACAGAAGAAGACCUAUCCAUUGACCUUACAUCACAGACGAGUUGACAUCAGACAUCUCUGUUGUUAGAGCUGCUGUAGAAUGGUUGCGAAUAGUCACCAGUGCAGCAUUCAAGGUAAGUAACAUGAAGAUCAAUAAACUCCAGUCUGAUGUGACAUUCCUUCUAGUAUGUCCCAAGGAACUCCUGCCAUUGGUUCAGCCAUCACCCAUGUGGGCUCAUGCCUCCACUGCCUACAAUUACUGAGCCGCGCUAUGGCUGAGCUGUUACUCCUACAGCUCCUCCUGAUGACUAUGUCUCAGGUUGGUAGCUCUGGCCUGGAAAUAUCACACUUAUAAUGCUGUUUAAGAGGCACCCCUCGAUAUAUCCAGCUUAUAUCUGUUUCCUGCCAUGAAGACUUACCACAUGAGGAUGUUAUCUGUGACAUCACCACGGAAGCUUCUGCCUCUGUCCCCAUAGCAGCCGCCAUAGAGAGGUGUUAGGGAUUCUGUACUGUCAUUUGGCUUUGAAGAAGCCAGGAAAGCAAGCGACCAGCACACAGAUCCAGAUGUGUAUCUGCCAAUAUCAUUCCCAAUAACCCACAAAGGUGCAAUUACUAGUGGUGUUAUUACAGUAUAAGGACUGAUGGGUGCCUCUGCCUAGCUAAGAAUGUAACAUUUGUGUCCAUGCCUAAUGGCCGCCUAUAUCACUCAUUUGAGAGUUACUCCAUUCCACACAGCAAUAUAACUCUUCAGUGCACACCUUGCUCACAAGGGUGCUGCUACUUAAUCAGACAAGCUGUCUCAGCCAUUCUCCCCUGAAUGUCAGAGGAACCAUAAUUAACCAUAUGUGGAUUAUGUUACAUGACCUUCACAAGGAAUUUGACUUCAAUAAUGGCACAUCAUGGGAGGCAAAUUAACUAGAGAAUGUCAACUGGUCCAGAAUGGAAAGAGGCAAAGUACUGCACAAGGCUACACUACCCAUGCUGUAAAAGACUUCCUUUUCGAAGGUUACAUAUCACGCAGUCUACUGUAUACCUGCUCCCCCAAGUCCUUUCACAGCCUUUACGUGACCAUGCUCGAUUUUUGCGACCUUGGCUCAACAACCAAUCCCAGCUACUGUCUCAGGAGACUCAGCACUUGUCUGGCCCUGUGUAAAGAUGAACUAUUCUGUCUUCAACCCAACAACAACUGACCUUUACUUCAAGGUACAAUGCAGUGAAGCCAUGAUGCUCUACCAGUGGAACAGGAUCUUUUACAGCGCUUUGCCUUCCAGAGACAAAGGAUGACACAUAUCAAGCAGUCUGGCCAAUAAAACACAUGUUCUUGGAGUAGUCACCCCAGCCAUUGCCCCCGUUUUCAACAACCAUUUCAUCAAAGCACAUUAAUGGUGCAGAGUCCAAUGCGGGGUUGAACUCAGGACCCUGAGAUCAAGACCUGAACUGAGAUGCUGAGAUCAAGAGUCAGAUGCUCAACUGACUGAGCCAUCCAGUCGCCCCUCUAUUGUUUAAAACUGAAAUACAGUUUUAUUUUAUGGAUUUUUUUCCUCAUAUAGUACAUAAAAUAAUGAAUUUGAUGCCACUCCCCAAAACAUGGGGGGGGUGUACCUUCCUUAUUAUCCUUCACAUUCUAAAGUGAUUAAUAUCUUCACUCAUGGUGAUUGAUUUCAGACUAGGUAGUGUAAACAACAGAAAUUUAUUUUCUUCCACAGCUUUGGAGGCUGGAAUUUCAAGUGCAAGGUGCUGGCAGGGUUAGUUUCUGGUGAGGCCUCUCUUUCCUAGCUUGUAGAUGGUUAGCUUGUCACUGCGUGCUCACGUGGCCUUUUCUGUGAGCAUGUGUGCCCCGGGUGUCUCUUCCUCUUCUUAUAAGGACACCAAGUCCUAUUGGAUGGGGGCCCCACACAUGUGACCUCAUUGAACCUUAAUGACUCCUUUAAAGGUCUUAUCUUCAAAUAUUCAGGUUGGGGCUCCAACAUAUGAAUUGGGAGAGGGGGACACAAUUUAGUCCAUAACGGAUUUGGUAGAUAAUUUUAAUUUGUGGUUAUUGUCUUUGUAUAUAAACUUUCUCAGUAUUUCUCUGCCUUUCAAAUACGCUAUCAUAAAGACUGAGAAAAUGUGGUUCCUUAUUUCCCACAUUGCCAUUCCAUCCCAGUUUAUUAUAAUAAAGAUAGGUCUAUUCAGUGCUCAGUGUAUUCCAGGAACUGCCCCAGAUUCUGGGACAUAUCCAUGAAAGAACCAAUGCCCCUGUUCUUAGCUCAUAAUGUGACCAGACCUUUAGAAAUUCAGAAAAUUGCUACCUUCAAAGACAUCUAGCAGUUCAGGAGUCCCAGAUUGUGAACUUUUUAAAUUAUUUUUUUAAUGUUUAUUUGGCGGGGGGGGGGGGGGGGGAGACAAAGAGAGAGGGAGACAGAAUCCAAAGCAGGCUCCAGGCUCUGAGCUGUCAGCACAGAGCGUGACAUGGGGCUCGUACUUACAAACAGCAAGAUCAUGACCUUAGCCAAAGCUGGACGCUUACCCGACUGAGCCACCCAGGCACCCCUGAGCUACCUUAUUUAACAACUCAACUUGCUUGUUUAAAAAAAAAAAAGUAUUUUAUUCAUUAAUUAACUUACUCAGCCAAUGUUUAUUGAGUGUUAACUUUGAGCCUAAGGUAUAGCAAUAAACAAAUUGGAUAAAGUAUCUGGUGUGAUGAAACUUGUAUUUUCAUGGAAGAGACAGACAAUAAGCAAAUAAAGAAUAUAAUGUCAGGUAGUGAUAAGUAUUUUGAAACAAAGCGAAGGUGAAAAGAUGACUUGUGGGGGAGACUGCUCUGCAAGAUAGGGUGUGAGGACUGCCUCUCUUAACAGGAAACAUCUGAGCAGAGACUUGAAAGGAGUGAAGGAGCUCACUGUGCGUGGGGGAUGAACGUUCCCAGUAGAGAGGCCAAGUGCAAAGACUCUAGGGCAGGAGCACGGGGUAUUUCAGGGUCUGCAGCCAGUGCAACUGAGCCAGGGGGUAAAGUAGUUAAGUGAUGGUACUGCUGAGGUGGCCAGGAGCUAGCGCAUGAAUGCUCUUGUAGGAUUUUAUUCUCCAAGACGAGAAGCCAUUGAAGCAUUGGAGAACAGAAGUCGUAGAAUCUGACUUAUAUUUUAAAGCCUCUCUGGCUGCUCUAUGGAGAAAAGAUGGGGGAGUGGAGGCCUAAGAUAAAGCAGGGAGACCACUGAGUGGUUAGAGUGAGAAAUGAUGGUGGCUUGCACUAAAAUGAUAGCAUGGAGGUGGUGUGUGUGUGUGUGCAUGCGCAUUUAAGGUAAUCACAGCAGGUGUUACUAUAACUGGUAAUUUUUUUUAACGUUUAUUUAUUUUUGAGAGACAGAGCAUGAGCGGGGGAGGGACAGAGAGAGAGGGAGUCACAAAUUCCAAAGCAGGCUCCAGGCUCUGAGGUGUCAGCACAGAGCCUGACGCAGGGCUUGAACUCACAGACUGCGAGAUCAUGACCUGAGGCAAAGUUGGACGCUUAGCCAACUGAGCCACCCAGGCGCCCCCUGAUUGGUAAUUUUUAAUCACAAAAUGUUACACAUAAGAAAUCAUCAACACCUACAAUAUUCAUGACCGGUACUCCUCAAACCUGUCCAUCAAAAACAAGGGAAGUCUGAGAAACUGUCACAGCUACUACAUAUUAACCUUAUUCUUAGGGCAUUU